UGUUAGAGGUAGGAUUCCAGUUUUGCUUGAUGGAGGAGUAAGGUGAGGAACAUAUGUUUUCAAUCGAUAGGCUUCCAUUGGUUCAUGGUGUUCUUGAACUUGUAGGCAUCGGUUACACAAGAGUGACAUCGAGUUACAGCGGUGGAGGCUGGAGAUUAUAUGGCUUGUUUCACUGCUCUUGAUCAUAAACCUGAGGUUGCAUUGAGUAUUGAUUUCGAUAGGAGAACUGGUGUUCAAUCUAAAAGCUGGAGUAGUGUAGCUAAGAAGAGCCAAGUCGAAGUGAGUUUUCAUGCUUUGGAUUUGAUUCAUCAUAUUGUUUGAUCAAGCAUAUUGUAAGAACCCCACUUGAGAGAUACUACCAUUGGACAAUGGAUUUUUUU